AGCAGCCGCGGUAAUUCCAGCUCCAAUAGCGUAUAUUAAAGUUGUUGCGGUUAAAAAGCUCGUAGUUGAAUUUCGGGGUCAGUAGGUUGGUCGUGCCACCGGUACGUACUGGUCUCACUGAUUCCUCCUUCCUGAUGAGCUGUAAUGCCAUUAAUUUGGUGUUGCAGGGAAUCUGGACUGUUACUUUGAAAAAUUAGAGUGUUUAAAGCAGGCUAACGCUUGAAUACAUUAGCAUGGAAUAAUGAAAUAGGACGUUCGAUCCUAUUUUGUUGGUUUCUAGGAUUGACGUAAUGAUUAAUAGGGAUAGUUGGGGGCAUUAGUAUUCAAUUGUCAGAGGUGAAAUUCUUGGAUUUAUUGAAGACUAACUACUGCGAAAGCAUUUGCCAAGGAUGUUUUCAUUAAUCAAGAACGAAAGUUAGGGGAUCGAAGACGAUCAGAUACCGUCGUAGUCUUAACCAUAAACUAUGCCGACUAGGGAUCGGAUGAUGUUAAUUUUUAAUGUACUCA
rnacentral:rRNA from 1 species